rnacentral:rRNA from 1 species
CCUACGGGUGGCUGCAGUGAGGAAUAUUGGUCAAUGGCCGUAAGGCUGAACCAGCCAAGUAGCGUGAGGGAAGACUGCCCUAUGGGUUGUAAACCUCUUUUAUGCGGGGAUAAAGGUUUCCACGUGUGGAUGUUUGCAGGUACCGCAUGAAUAAGCACCGGCUAAUUCCGUGCCAGCAGCCGCGGUAAUACGGAGGGUCCGGGCGUUAUCCGGAUUUAUUGGGUUUAAAGGGUGCGUAGGCCGGUCUUUAAGCGUGCCAUGAAAUUUUGUGGCUCAACCAUGGGAGUGCGGCGCAAACUGGAGACCUCGAGUGGGCGGAAGGCAGGCGGAAUUCGUGGUGUAGCGGUGAAAUGCUUAGAUAUCACGAAGAACCCCGAUUGCGAAGGCAGCAUGCCGCAGCGUUACUGACGCUGAGGCUCGAAAGCGCGGGUAUCGAACAGGAUUAGAUACCCGUGUAGUC